CUAAAGAUUCACGUCUUUGGUUCCAUCUCGUGCAUUGUUUCCCCCCUUCGGCACUUCGGUGUUGUUGGGGCCCCUUUUUUACCCUUUUUUUCUGUUUGAUAACUUCUUUGGGUGGGAUUAUAAUAAAAUA
rnacentral:misc_RNA from 1 species